CGUCACACGUUUGACGAGUUGGGAGUGAGAACGUGUUGGCUUUGAACGCGACAGACCAGACUGCCUUCCUGGCUAUGAGGUUAAAAUAAGCAGUGGAAGAACAUUUUUCCUCAGACCAAACACCGAGUGGCUUAAAAGGAAAAUAAAUGAGAGAACUCUGCUGUGUCCUCCAAUGUUUUCAGCUUAAAUAACUGAAGCUAUUCAUCUUUAAUGAGUCCUCCCACUAUAGUUUGUAUAUUCCAGCUGCACCACAGUGUUUAGAAGCAGUGACUAAAUGUCAUCUUACAUGUCUUGUAGGUUUCUUAAUUCACACGCUGAUUUUCAUAGAUUUAAUCUAAGUAAAGAUGAUGAAAACGAUGAAACAAAGAUAAAGUAAAGCAGCUGCUGGAAACAUUUCUGCUCAUUUAUUAGUUCACGCUUUGACAGAAAUAUUUGUUAAGAAAUGUAAAUUAUUUUUUGCAAAUUAUUCAUAGCGCUUUAACAGUCUUGUGUUCACAUAUAUAUACAAUACAAAACAAUUUUACUAUAUAACAUGUUUAAAACCAGGGGGUACACCAAAUUGCUUCACAGUAAGGAAUAAACAGUAAAAUUAUUACACUGAACAGUAAGUCAUUUAAAGAAUGUAAAAUAGAGAAACAAACAAAGGCAUUUGUAAGUAGGGAUUGGGAGAAUUCAUGAUAAUCCAGAGAAAUGAGUAAAGAUACGCCAGCUAGUGAUUGGUGAGAAUUAGCAAAUAUACUACAAAUGUCAUUAAAUAUGAAUGUUAUUCUGUCUUCAAGCUGAGAACAAAGACAAAUCAAUAAAAGCUUCUGAAAUCAGA